CCAAGUGGCUAAAUGACGUCAAAUGCACCAGGAACACUGAAGUUAAGUGACGUCGAGCGUGGACAUCUGAACGGGUGACCGUCGGACGUAUCAAGUGCUGCUGGCA
rnacentral:rRNA from 1 species